UCGGGAGGCUGAGGCAGGAGAAUCGCUUGAACCUGGGAGGAGGAGGUUGCAUUGAGCCGAGAUCGCGCCACUGCACUCCAGCCUGGUCAACAGGGCGAGACUCUGUCUCAAAAAAAAAAAAAAAAGACUGUCCUUUAGCUUCUCUGUUUGGACUUCUGCCCCAUUUCUGGACCUCACCUGCUGCUCUCCCAGAAUGCCCUGGCUCCCUCUGGCUUGGGGUGGUGGUUGAGUGGCGGGGGUGGUGAGUCAGCCCAGCCCACAGUCAUCUUCCUCACCAUCACUUGUCAUAUAGUAUGCCAAGCACUUUACAGACAUUCUCUCCUGUGAUUGCAACAGCAACACAUUUUCUGGACAAGCAGCUUGGCUUAGUAGGCAGAGCUUGGAUUUAGAGUCUUCUCCACUGGGGGGACGGAGAUGUUCAUUGCAAUGCCAGCCUCUCACUGCUGCCUCCCACCCUCAGAUCUCUUUGCAGAGUCCCUGCAGUGCAAGGUGGACUGUGAGGCCAAUUUGACCCCCAAUGUGGGUGGCUACUUCGUGGACAAGUUCGUGGCCACCAUGUACCACUACCUGCAGUUUGCCUACUAUAAGUUGAAUGAUGUGCGCCAGGCUGCCCGCAGCGCCGCCAGCUACAUGCUCUUCGACCCCAAGGACAGCGUCAUGCAGCAGAACCUGGUGUAUUACCGGUUCCACCGGGCUCGCUGGGGCCUGGAAGAGGAGGACUUCCAGCCCCGGGAGGAGGCCAUGCUCUACCACAACCAGACCGCCGAGCUGCGGGAGCUGCUGGAGUUCACCCACAUGUACCUGCAGUCAGAUGAUGAGAUGGAGCUGGAGGAGACAGAACCGCCCCUGGAGCCUGAGGAUGCCCUAUCUGACGCUGAGUUUGAGGGGGAGGGUGACUACGAGGAGGGCAUGUAUGCUGACUGGUGGCAGGAGCCGGAUGCCAAGGGUGACGAGGCUGAGGCUGGUCAGUGACACGAGUCCUUGGGGGGUGGGGAUGCAGCCUGGGAUGGAGGUUGGGGACAGAUGCAUUCACCCGCUGGGCUCCGGAGCCCAGGGUGUGUGUGGGUGCCGGGGCCCAUCCUCCAGGGGUCUCCAGCCUGUUGGCAACCCCUGUCCCGCUUGGGGGUGGUGGUGCAGCAUCUCCCCUGGAGCUGGGACCAGCUGAGACCUGUCCGGGGAAGCCUCACCCUACCUCCCAUCAGGACAGCACCUGGACACCCAUUGGGAGUGGGUGGGGGAGCAACCCCAGUGCUUUCUCCUUUCCUUUUCAGAGCCAGAGCCUGAACUCGCAUGAGAAGGGGACACCCCACACCCCUCAAGCUUGGGAAGCCUGGUGCCAAUGGCCCCACCCUCACCAGCCUGGGCAGCAGCAAGAACUAUUUAUUAAAAACUUAAGAUGGGCCAGGUGCGGUGGCUCACACCUGUAAUCCCAGCAUUUUGGGAGGCCAAGGUGGGUGGAUCACUUGAGGCCAGGAGUUCAAGACCAGCCUGGCCAACAUGAUGAGACCUCCGUCUCUACUAAAAUACAUAAAUUAGCCGGGUGUGGUGGCAGGUGCCUGAAAUCCCAGCUACUCAAGAGGCUGAGGCAGGAGAAUCGCUUGAACCUGGGAGGCAAAGGUUGCAGUGAACUGAGAUUGCGCCACCGCACUCCAGCCUGGGCGACAGAGCGAGACUCCAUCUUUAAAAAAA
rnacentral:lncRNA from 1 species